rnacentral:rRNA from 1 species
AUUGAACGCUGGCGGCAGGCCUAACACAUGCAAGUCGAACGGUAACAGAAAGCAGCUUGCUGCUUUGCUGACGAGUGGCGGACGGGUGAGUAAUGUCUGGGAAACUGCCUGAUGGAGGGGGAUAACUACUGGAAACGGUAGCUAAUACCGCAUAACGUCGCAAGACCAAAGAGGGGGACCUUCGGGCCUCUUGCCAUCGGAUGUGCCCAGAUGGGAUUAGCUAGUAGGUGGGGUAAAGGCUCACCUAGGCGACGAUCCCUAGCUGGUCUGAGAGGAUGACCAGCCACACUGGAACUGAGACACGGGCCAGACUCCUACGGGAGGCAGCAGUGGGGAAUAUUGCACAAUGGGCGCAAGCCUGAUGCAGCCAUGCCGCGUGUAUGAAGAAGGCCUUCGGGUUGUAAAGUACUUUCAGCGGGGAGGAAGGGAGUAAAGUUAAUACCUUUGCUCAUUGACGUUACCCGCAGAAGAAGCACCGGCUAACUCCGUG